GACAUAUAUACGUUGAAACACCAGUUCCUGCAUGAGCACCGAAGUUAAGCAACACCGGAACUGGUCAGUACCUGGAUGGGUGACCGCUUGGGAAGUAUGGCU